CCGACCUUAGCCCAGAUGGAAAAGCAUGAGACUGUAAGUGGUUGGAUUGAACUUGUCAUCUUGAGGUCGCCUGUUCGAGCCAGGCAGGUUGGA